AUUGAACGCUGGCGGCAUGCUUUACACAUGCAAGUCGAACGGCAGCGCGGGCUUCGGCCUGGCGGCGAGUGGCGAACGGGUGAGUAAUACAUCGGUACGUGCCCAGUAGUGGGGGAUAGCUCGGCGAAAGCCGGAUUAAUACCGCAUACGACCUGAGGGUGAAAGCGGGGGAUCUUCGGACCUCGCGCUAUUGGAGCGGCCGAUGGCAGAUUAGCUAGUUGGUGGGGUAAAGGCCUACCAAGGCGACGAUCUGUAGCUGGUCUGAGAGGACGACCAGCCACACUGGGACUGAGACACGGCCCAGACUCCUACGGGAGGCAGCAGUGGGGAAUUUUGGACAAUGGGCGAAAGCCUGAUCCAGCAAUGCCGCGUGUGUGAUGAAGGCCUUCGGGUUGUAAAGCACUUUUGGCGGGAACGAAAAGGACUGUGCCAAUACCACGGUUCGAUGACGGUACCCGCAGAAUAAGCACCGGCUAACUACGUG
rnacentral:rRNA from 1 species